AACGAACGCUGGCGGCAUGCCUAACACAUGCAAGUCGAACGAGACCUUCGGGUCUAGUGGCGCACGGGUGCGUAACGCGUGGGAACCUGCCCUUAGGUUCGGAAUAACUCCCCGAAAGGGGUGCUAAUACUGGAUAAUGUCUUCGGACCAAAGAUUUAUCGCCUUUGGAUGGGCCCGCGUUGGAUUAGCUAGUUGGUAGGGUAAAAGCCUACCAAGGCGACGAUCCAUAGCUGGUCUGAGAGGAUGAUCAGCCACACUGGGACUGAGACACGGCCCAGACUCCUACGGGAGGCAGCAGUGGGGAAUAUUGGACAAUGGGCGAAAGCCUGAUCCAGCAAUGCCGCGUGAGUGAUGAAGGCCUUAGGGUUGUAAAGCUCUUUUACUCGGGAUGAUAAUGACAGUACCGGGAGAAUAAGCUCCGGCUAACUCCGUG
rnacentral:rRNA from 1 species